GAUGAACGCUGGCGGCGUGCCUAAUACAUGCAAGUCGAGCGAACGGACGAGAAGCUUGCUUCUCUGAUGUUAGCGGCGGACGGGUGAGUAACACGUGGAUAACCUACCUAUAAGACUGGGAUAACUUCGGGAAACCGGAGCUAAUACCGGAUGAUAUUUUGAACCGCAUGGUUCAAAAGUGAAAGACGGUCUUGCUGUCACUUAUAGAUGGAUCCGCGCUGCAUUAGCUAGUUGGUAAGGUAACGGCUUACCAAGGCAACGAUGCAUAGACGACCUGAGAGGGUGAUCGGCCACACUGGAAAUGAGACACGGUCCAGACUCCUACGGGAGGCAGCAGUAGGGAAUCUUCCGCAAUGGGCGAAAGCCUGACGGAGCAAAGCCGCGUGAGUGAUGAAGGUCUUCGGAUCGUAAAACUCUUUUAUUAGGGAAGAACAUAUGUGUAAGUAACUGUGCACAUCUUGACGGUACCUAAUCAGAAAGCCACGGCUAACUACGUG
rnacentral:rRNA from 1 species